GGUCGACUCCUGGAAGCCUCCUGAUUGGCCGGUGUUUUUAACCGGCUGAUAAAGAAGUCCGUUUAACAUGAACAUGACACUUUACAUGAAGUUUGGGUUAGAUGGUUUCUAUGAGAAGGAACAUGAAGGUCUGAGAUGUUCCUGACUGAAGCUCAGCUCUGUGCUGCCUGGAGGUUAAAUGAGAACCCACCAUGUGACUGACAUUCUUCACACUGGAUUCACAGUUAGCAUGAAGCUGUGAACAUCACUGCAAACAUCUCCUAUGUGCAUGUGAGCUUCAUUUAAUACGGAGAACCCCUGACACAUCUGAGGGAGGUUUAGACUGGAACUUAGACGAUUAUGAAGUAAAUCAGUUCAAAAGCAGCACAAAUACUCCUUCACAGGGAGGUUUCACAGAUUAACAGCAAAGAAUACCAAACAAUUUUUAAAGAAAAACACUUAAAUGGCACCAUUAAUCAACCAAAAACUGUUAAAACUGGAAGAAUCUGACGGUUUCUCCAUGAAUCCUCUGGAAUCUGCUGAAAAGCAACAACAUAAACAUCUGGAGAUCCAUUCAGCAUGGUGGAACAUCUGGUGAUCCAUUCAGCAUGGUGGAACAUCUGGAGAUAUGCAGGAGAGUAGAGAGGAAACAUGGAGAUAGAAAAACAUCUCCAUGAUGAGGAGAGAACAUUAGUUCAGUUUAACAUCUGAGGAAACAUGGUGGUUCCAGAUUUUUACGUCUUUUAACAUAAAUCAUCAAGCAACUGUUCACAGAAUAAUUGAGACCAGUUAAAUCCAGUUAAACCAGUAUAGAAACCAAUUAAAUCCAGUAGAACCAGUACAGAGCUGAAAACAAGCCCAGGGUUAGGUUAAGGAAUCCUCAAUUAAAGAUUAAUAACAUGCAGUUCUUUAUUAUAGUACUACAGUAAUAUAAUAGAAUAAGGUAAUAUAUUAGUACUACAGUAAUAUAGUACUCCAGCAGCAGUACAAUAAUACUACAGUAUAGUGGUAAAAUUGUAGUAUUAUAGUCCUCCAACAGCAGGGGGCGCUGUGUUCUCCUCUGAUCUCCUCUUAAAAGUAGCUCAGUCCAGCUUCAGCUCAGUCUCAGGAUCAUGGCUCCCAGGAGGAUGGAAACCAAACCUCUGAUCUUCUGCCUGAAGACGCUGCUGCUGCUGUACUCCUUCAUCUUCUGGGUGACAGGUGUGGUCCUGCUGUCAGUGGGACUAUGGUGGAAGUUCAUGCUGGGUCCGUACACUCUGCUGAUCUCCAGUGGUCCGUCCAACGCUCCCCUAAUCCUCAGUGGUACCGGAGCCGCCAUCGUGCUGUUCGGGCUGUUUGGCUGCUUCGCCGCCUGCAGGGGGCGCCCCUGGAUGCUGAGGCUGUAUGCCAUCUUCCUGUCGCUGGUCUUCGUGACGGAACUCAUCGCUGGAAUCUCUGGAUUCGUCUUUCGUCACGAGAUCAAAGGAACAUUCCUGAGCUCGUUCGGUGAGGCAGUGAUGAGAUACGAUGGACGAGACGACAGAAGUCUGGCUGUAGACGGCGUCCAGCGCAAACUGCACUGCUGUGGAGUUUAUAACUAUACCAGCUGGUUCAGCAGUGUUUAUUUCUCCGUCGGAGGGAUCCCUGCCAGCUGCUGUGUGACAUUCUCCGACUGCAGUGGAACUGACCUGAAGAACACCACUGUGGCGGGACGCAAAGUCCACAAACAGGGUUGUUAUGAGGUGGUGACAUCCUUCACAGAGAGCAACAUGGGAAUCAUCGCUGGAGUCACGUUUGGUAUCGCCUUCUCUCAGCUCAUUGGAAUGUCUUUGGCCUGUUGUUUGUCUCGCUUCAUCAACGCCAACCAGUACGAGAUGGUUUAACAGGUAAUCCAUCUUUAAACUAAACUAAACUAACCAGAGAUGGUUUAACAGGUAAUCCAGGUUUAAUCUAAACUAACCAGAGAUGGUUUAACAGGUAAUCCAGGUUUAAUCUAAACUAACCAGAGAUGGUUUAACAGGUAAUCCAUCUUUAAACUAAACUAACCAGAGAUGGUUUAACAGGUAAUCAAGCUGUAACCCAACCCAAACCUAACCCUAAAUCUUAACUUAGACUUAAACCUAAACCUGAACUUAAUGCAAGUUUAAACCUAACCCUAAGCUAAAUGUGAACCUAACCCUAACCUAAAUUUAAACUUGACCCUAACCUUAGCUUAAACCAGCGUAACUCCUGGAUGAGUAAAAACUGCACCAACUUCCUGUUUUCUGUCUUUUCCAGAGAGAUGAAGAAGUGUGUCGCCGUGGAAACCUGUUGUAUUUAUUUAGUGUUUUGCUGUGAAAAAGGGAACGUUUUUUUUAAAAAUUAAUAACAGUAAUAUUCUGGUGGAGUCACACUGAAACCAUCCCUGAAGAAACACUGAAGGACUUGUUCCAUUGUUCUGACUUUAACUUUGAUUCUAUUCUGAGCGAGGAAAUAAACGGUGGAAUCAAA